UAAACUGAAGAGUUUGAUCAUGGCUCAGAUUGAACGCUGGCGGCAGGCCUAACACAUGCAAGUCGAGCGGUAACAGGGGUAGCUUGCUACCCGCUGACG
rnacentral:rRNA from 1 species